GCGCUGCUGAAGAGUCCUACAAUUGGACGAAACGGCCGUCUAGAGC
rnacentral:hammerhead_ribozyme from 1 species